AAUAGAUACCCGGGUAGUCCACGCCGUAAACGAUGAGUGCUAAGUGUUAGAGGGUUUCCGCCCUUUAGUGCCGCAGCUAACGCAUUAAGCACUCCGCCUGGGGAGUACGGUCGCAAGACUGAAACUCAAAGGAAUUGACGGGGGCCCGCACAAGCGGUGGAGCAUGUGGUUUAAUUCGAAGCAACGCGAAGAACCUUACCAGGUCUUGACAUCCUUUGCCACUUCUAGAGAUAGAAGGUUCCCCUUCGGGGGACAAAGUGACAGGUGGUGCAUGGUUGUCGUCGGCUCGUGUCGUGAGAUGUUAGGUUAAGUCCCGCAACGAGCGCAACCCUUGAUCUUAGUUGCCAGCAUUCAGUUGGGCACUCUAAGGUGACUGCCGGUGACAAACCGGAGGAAGGUGGGGAUGACGUCAAAUCAUCAUGCCCCUUAUGACCUGGGCUACACACGUGCUACAAUGGAUGGUACAAAGGGCUGCGAGACCGCGAGGUUUAGCCAAUCCCAUAAAACCAUUCUCAGUUCGAAUUGCAGG
rnacentral:rRNA from 1 species